UCCACACAGGAAGGUCACACCAUCCCCCACCAUCAUCAGAGUGGAAACCUCGGGGAUGAUAAUAUUGUUGUUAAGGAAGAGUAUAUAGAGGAGGAUGCGGAGUAUGGAGUGAUGGAGGAGUAUUCAGAAGGACACAAGGAUGUCACAAUGGAGCCACCUAAUAGCAGAAACCCACCAGAGAGAUGUCCCCGUCCUCUGUAUUUCCAGGAUUCCACACAAGAAGAUCUCAAAUAUGGAAAACCUGAUCAGAGUGGAAACCUGAGAGAUCCUAAAGUUGAGAUAAAAGAGG